UACGUAGGCGGCAAGCGUUGUCCGGAUUUACUGGGCGUAAAGGGUGCGUAGGCGGUCUUUUAAGUCAGGAGUGAAAGGCUACGGCUCAACCGUAGUAAGCUCUUGAAACUGGAGGACUUGAGUGCAGGAGAGGAGAGUGGAAUUCCUAGUGUAGCGGUGAAAUGCUUAGAUAUCACGAAGAACUCCGAUUGCGAAGGCAGCUUACUAACCUGUAACUGACAUUGAUGCUCGAAAGUGUGGGUAUCAAACAGG
rnacentral:rRNA from 1 species